GAUGGUAUAGCCCAGUGGUAGAGCUCAUGCUUAGCAUGCAUGAGGUCCUGGGUUCAAUCCCCAGUACCUCCA
rnacentral:tRNA from 1 species